GGACCCGCACAAGCGGUGGAUGAUGUGGAUUAAUUCGAUGCAACGCGAAAAACCUUACCUACCCUUGACAUGUACAGAACUUUAUAGAGAUAUAUUGGUGCCCGAAAGGGAGCUGUAACACAGGUGCUGCAUGGCUGUCGUCAGCUCGUGUCGUGAGAUGUUGGUUAAGUCCCGCAACGAGCGCAACCCUUGCCACUAGUUGCUACAUUUAGUUGGGCACUCUAGUGGGACUGCCGGUGACAAACCGGAGGAAGGUGGGGAUGACGUCAAGUCCUCAUGGCCCUUAUGGGUAGGGCUUCACACGUCAUACAAUGGCGCGUACAGAGGGUUGCAAACCCGCAAGGGGAAGCU
rnacentral:rRNA from 1 species